GAGCAGGCCGAGCCCUCCCAUUGUCCAUCUGCUCCCCUAACCUCUACCCCAGAUGUUCAUAUUUUCUGCUCCCAUCCCCACACGCCACAUUCCCACCUUCUGGGUCUACUCCCCAGGGAGCUGGUUUCAGCAGAAAAAAGAGCAAAUCUCAGCAGCCCCUUCCAAAUUGUGGGAGUGCCUGGGAGGGAAUUAAGCCUUGUCAAAACUUCCAAAAUUCAAACCAGGAAGAACCUGGCUGAGGAAACCUGGGUGGAUGGGAAUUCAGUUGUGCAGUUUCUCCUGGGUAGGAGGAGGUCUUGGAGUGGCAUCUGUCGGCCUUGAUGAUGGGAGAAGGCUGGAAGAUGUCCGGUGGCACCAGCAGCUGCAGAAGCUCCUCCUACAGAGAUGAACGUGUCAACGACAACCAGUGCAGGGGCUUUUUCAAGUGUUGCGAGGUCCUGUGUAGGAGGAAAUGUGUUUAUCCCACAGCAGACAGAUUGAUGCCAGUGUGAUGAAGCUGAGGAUUCCUGGUGUCCAGGGAGUCCACUUCCCACACAAGCCUGAGGUAUCCGCAGUCCCCGCUGAAGCCUUGGUGCUGCCACGGAUGCUUCCUCUGUGCCCGGUCCUUUGUGUAUUCCUGGCACCCAGAAAAGGGCUGGGCACGGAAAAUGUGUUUUGACCAGAGAACAAAUAAAAGCACACGCUUCU